GAUCCUGGCUCAGGAUGAACGCUGGCGGCGUGCCUAAUACAUGCAAGUCGAACGCGAGCACUUGUGCUCGAGUGGCGAACGGGUGAGUAAUACAUAAGUAACCUGCCCUAGACAGGGGGAUAACUAUUGGAAACGAUAGCUAAGACCGCAUAGGUACGGACACUGCAUGGUGACCGUAUUAAAAGUGCCUCAAAGCACUGGUAGAGGAUGGACUUAUGGCGCAUUAGCUGG
rnacentral:rRNA from 1 species